rnacentral:rRNA from 1 species
GACGAACGCUGGCGGCGCGCUUAACACAUGCAAGUCGAACGGAAAGGCCUGCUUUCCCUUGUGGAUUGCGGGUACUCGAGUGGCGAACGGGUGAGUAACACGUGAGUGAUCUGCCCCCAACUUGGGUAUAAGCCUGGGAAACUGGGUCUAAUUCCCGAUAGGACUGCAGGGUGGUGCCUGUGGUGGAAAACGAUUUUCUAGUGGUUGGGGAUGAGCUCGCGGCCUAUCAGCUUGUUGGUGGGGUAAUGGCCUACCAAGGCGGCGACGGGUAGCCGGCCUGGGAGGGUGGACGGCCGCAUUGGGACUGAGAUACGGCCCCGACGCCUACGGGAGGCAGCAGUGGGGAGUAUUGCACAAUGGGCGGAAGCCUGAGGCAGCGACGCCGCGUGGGGGAUGACGGCCUUCGGGUUGUAAACUCCUUUCGACCGCGAGGAAGCCACCUGGUUGGAAGGGUGGUGACGGUAGUGGUAGAAGAAGCACCGGCUAGCUACGUG